rnacentral:rRNA from 1 species
CGUCGUGCUUGGAGUGCUCAACUGCUUAUUAGAGUCCGCUUCUAAUACGGCGAGAAGACUAAACCCUUCGACCCACUAUUUUAAUAUCUGGCCUCAAAUCAGGUAGGAUUACCCGCUGAACUUAAGCAUAUCAAUAAGCGGAGGAAAAGAAACUAACAAGGAUUCCCCUAGUAACGGCGAGUGAAGCGGGAAGAGCUCAAAUUUGAAAGCUGGCGUCUUCGGCGUCCGCGUUGUAAUCUCGAGAAGUGUUUUCCGUGCUGGACCAUGUACAAGUUCCUUGGAAUAGGACGUCAUAGAGGGUGAAAAUCCCGUACUUGAUGUGGCCGCCCAGUGCUUUGUGAUACACUUUCCAUGAGUCGAGUUGUUUGGGAAUGCAGCUCAAAAUGGGUGGUAGAUUCCAUCUAAAGCUAAAUAUUGGGGAGAGACCGAUAGCGAACAAGUACCGUGAGGGAAAGAUGAAAAGCACUUUGGAAAGAGAGUUAAAUAGUACGUGAAAUUGUCGAAAGGGAAGCGCUUGAAGUUAGACAUGCUAGUUGGAAUUCAGCCUUGCUUUUGCUUGGUGCAUUUUCCGGUUAGCAGGCCAGCAUCAGUUUUGCCUGUCGGAUAAGGGUAGGAGGAAUGUGGCCCCUCGGGGUGUUAUAGCCUCUUACUGGAUACGACGGGUGGGACUGAGGACAGCAGUGCGCCUUU